rnacentral:lncRNA from 1 species
AUGCAAAGCUUCAACUCAACAGAAUUCYGGAAUGUGUGGUGUUCUUUUGCAAGACUCUAUACAUGGAUAAUCCAAUAUCUUCAAGAUAAGAAGAAGAYAUGCAACCCUACUUCAGAACACAUCUCACCUAGUGCUGAGGACGUGAAAGGAGCGGGUUCAAGCUUUUUUGCAGAAAGCACAAAUAAACGCGGGAAGGAUUUCUUGGUCAGUGGCUACUGUUCAAAGUGGUACAUGCUGCCACCUCUUACUGUGCCUUUUGUAAAGACUGAUUAUUCUAAGUGCAUUUUGAGAACACAGGUUUGCUUUUAAGACAUGUUUACUGUGUGCAUUUACUAAUACACACACCCACACCCACACCCACACCCACACACCACUAUUGUUAGUUUGUAGUCAAAGCUGCAUGAUGUUUAGCCUUCUUCCCCUUUCUCUCCUAUUCUAUGCACUUACGUCAUGACUUCAUUUGUCCACAUCAGAUUGGGCUGUGCAAAACAGAGGAGAAAAAAAAGGGGRAAAAAAAAAGAGAGAGAGAGAGAAUCUCAACAGGAUUUUGGUAUGAUUCAAAUGCCUAGCUGUUCCACAAGUCUUAUAAGCUUUGAUUCCAGAAGUAUUUUCUUGGGUUUCUAGGAAACCUCUSUAAACUUAGGGACUUUUGGCACAAAUAAUCAGAAAUAAUUCUGGUUUCUACUGUGAACAUGGGCAUGUAAAAGGCAAGAAAAUCAGGCAAUUGAAUCCUUUUAUGUGUGUAGGGCCAGGUUUUCAAAAGGAUGUGCAGAUAUAAAGAUGGAGUUAGAUACCUAUGACAGUUUUAAAAAGAAAAAAAAUAAAAUGAUAUGAUGUUAUAUGACUCCA